rnacentral:rRNA from 1 species
CAGUAGCCACGGUAAUACGUAGGGUGCGAGCGUUAAUCGGAAUUACUGGGCGUAAAGCGUGCGCAGGCGGUUGUGUAAGACAGAUGUGAAAUCCCCGGGCUCAACCUGGGAACUGCAUUUGAGACUGUAUGGCUAGAGUGUGUCAGAAGGGGGUAGAAUUCCACGUGUAGCAGUGAAAUGCGUAGAGAUGUGGAGGAAUACCGAUGGCGAAGGCAGCCUCCUGGGAUAACACUGACGUUCAUGCCCGAAAGCGUGGGUAGCAAACAGGAUUAGAUACCCCCGUAGUCCCUGUCUCUUAUAC